CCUACGGGAGGCAGCAGUGGGGGAUAUUGGACAAUGGGGGAAACCCUGAUCCAGCGACGCCGCGUGAGGGAAGAAGUAUUUCGGUAGGUAAAGCUCUGUCAGCAGGGAAGAAAGAAAUGACGGUACUUGACCAAGAAGCCCCGGCUAACUACGUGCCAGCAGCCGCGGUAAUACGUAGGGGGCAAGCGUGAUCCGGAAUUACUGGGUGUAAAGGGAGCGUAGACGGUGAUGCAAGUCUGGAGUGAAAGGCGGGGGCCCAACCCCCGGACUGCUCUGGAAACUGUGUAACUUGAGUGCAGGAGAGGUAAGCGGAAUUCCUAGUGUAGCGGUGAAAUGCGUAGAUAUUAGGAGGAACACCAGUGGCGAAGGCGGCUUACUGGACUGUAACUGACGUUGAGGCUCGAAAGCGUGGGGAGCAAACAGGAUUAGAUACCCUUGUAGUC
rnacentral:rRNA from 1 species